GGACCCUGAAAACAGAUCAUUUUAUCAUCCUAAUCCUGGUGCUCUGUGGCUGAAUCUGGAUGGCUCAGUGGCCUAACAGAAACAGACAUGACGCAGCAAGAAGAGGCUGUGAGGCUAUACAGCUUGCCCAAGGACAUUCUGUUGAAAGGUGGUAGAGUUCUAGAAGCCAGAAGUCUGAAAUCAAGGUUUCCUGCUUCUGCUUUUUCCAGCUUCUGGUGGCUUCAGGAACACCUUGAUUUGUGGCAGCAUAACACCAGUCUCUGCCCCUGUCUUCACAUGACCAUACCUUAUGGACCUGCCUCUUUCUUCUCUCGUAAGGACACCUGCCAAUGGAUUGAGGCCCAUCCUAAUCCAGGAUGGUCUCACACUCACAUCCUUAACCUUAAUGUGUCUAUAAAGACCCUUUUGGUAAAUAAAGUCACAUUCACAGGGACUGAGUUUACAUAUCUUAUAGGGGCCACCAUUCAGCUAUAGUGAGCUUGGUGAAAAUUAUAUGGAAACCGGAGGCUCUGAGCCAUGCU
rnacentral:lncRNA from 1 species